UUCCCGGGCCAUAUUGAUAAUGAUAGCCUUUUUAAAAUGUUAAUCCUUUUCUUACACUAUCUCACAACCUUCACAGACAGAAAGCAUGAUUCAUUUUCAUUAUGAUAUUCAAUAUUCAAUGAGAAUAUGUAUGAUGACUGUCUUUUUCUGCAAUCUUUAUAAAUUCAAGACGACCACUGUUCUUUUGGUUUUCUUUUUCAAUUCCUG
rnacentral:lncRNA from 1 species